UAAGGCUGAACCAAUGGACU
rnacentral:miRNA from 1 species